rnacentral:rRNA from 1 species
UACGUAGGGUCCAAGCGUUAUCCGGAAUUACUGGGCGUAAAGAGUUGCGUAGGUGGCAUAGUAAGUCAGUAGUGAAAUGACGAGGCUCAACCUCGUGUCCAUUACUGAAACUGCUAAGCUAGAGAAUGAGAGAGGUCACUGGAAUUCCCUGUGUAGGAGUGAAAUCCGUAGAUAUAGGGAGGAACACCGAUGGCGUAGGCAGGUGACUGGCUCAUUUCUGACACUAAGGCACGAAAGCGUGGGUAGCAAACGGG